GAUGAACGCUGACAGAAUGCUUAACACAUGCAAGUCUACUUGAACUUCGGUUUGGGUGGCGGACGGGUGAGUAACGCGUAAAGAACUUGCCUCACAGAUAGGGACAACAUUUGGAAACGAAUGCUAAUACCUGAUAUUAUGAUUUUAGGGCAUCCUAGAAUUAUGAAAGCUAUAUGCACUGUGAGAGAGCUUUGCGUCCCAUUAGCUAGUUGGAGAGGUAACGGCUCACCAAGGCGAUGAUGGGUAGCCGGCCUGAGAGGGUGAUCGGCCACAAGGGGACUGAGACACGGCCCUUACUCCUACGGGAGGCAGCAGUGGGGAAUAUUGGACAAUGGACCAAGAGUCUGAUCCAGCAAUUCUGUGUGCACGAUGAAGUUUUUCGGAAUGUAAAGCGCUUUCAGUUGGGAAGAAAAAAAUGACGGUACCAACAGAAGAAGAGACGGCUAAAUACGUG
rnacentral:rRNA from 1 species